AUCAGUUGGAUUAUUUGCAUACAUUUACCAAAUGUGAUAUAUAUCACUAGUCGAAAAUAUCUGUACUAUUAUCUUGAUAAUGAUUUCGACCCUAUCGCUAAGUGUUAGCAACGCAGGUUUCAGUUUGGUAUAUAUCAGGCUUAUAGACUUCACCUCACCUUGAUCUUGUAAUCUGUCAUUAUGAUGGAGAUAAAAUAAAUUUAACAAACAGCCUAGGAAGGUAUUGGAUUGCAUUAGAUUGGACAGAUGUACCUAAUAUAGUGGCCACUGAGUGUACAUAACUAAACAAUCAUACAUUGCCAGUGUCUACAUCUAAUUUAUCCCACUGGCCAAAUAUCAUCUUGUCAGUAAUCAGCCUUCACUCCAUUUUAACACUGUAUGAAUCUGUCCAGAUGUGCAUGCAAAUUUACCAUAGCUGGCAGUUGAGUGAACUGAUCAGGAGAUGUUAACCUGGCAUUGGGGGAGGACCGUUUGUAACACAAACUAUGUGUAAAUGAGUCUAAUAACGGUUAUCAACGACCAUAUGACAAACGACAGGGCAAAAUAACGGUGACCACCGUACAGCAGAGUGAACUAGCUGAUCGAAGAUAUUGAAAAUGUGUUCAAAUAAAUGCUUCUUGAUGAGUCAAAUUCAAGCCGAAAUUAGCAGCAGACUAAUUUUUUUGUAGUGGGCUGAAGACUUAAUCAUCGAGGUGUGUAUGUUUCCCGAGAAGCGAUUCACCACAGCACAGUCUCUCAACGCAAGUAAGGACGUCGCGUCAAGAGCCCGGUUGUGUCUCCGCCAAAAACCCACCCGCCUCCAAGCGCUAUCAGAGACGGUUCACAAGGUAUCGUUGGUGCUAUGUCCUACUGCCUGAUUUUCCCUUCAAACUACAGAGACACCAGGUGGAGGCAACAAGAACUGCGAUUGGCUGCUUGGACUGCUGGUGUUUGAUGACAGUGAGGAUUAUAGAGAGUGAGAACAACAUGAAGAAAGUUGAAGAAAGUCUUCUCCUUUGCAGUAACACACAUCUAGCAAAGCCAUUCCACUGCCGACCUUCUGCUCGCCUCACUCACAGCUCUUUAUGGAUCAGUGCAGGUACCCACAGCUGGACGUCUGGAUGUCCGUUAACCUCUUGCGUCGAGACGUUUACACCCCUCCCAUGAGGAAGGAGGAAAGCUGCAAAUGCAACACAGAGCUGAGACACACAGGGGAGAAAGAGAUGGAUGAGGGAACGGGGAUUGGAGAGCUCUGCAUUUCCAUAUUAAGGAGAUGAAAGAAAGAGAAGUUAAUUUACAAGUCACAAAGAAGGAGGAGAUGAAUGACUGAAGAACUUAUACAAUAACCAGCCCUGAUCUGGCCUCCUCCUCCUGUCACACUGAGGAUGAAACUGCUCAGUGAGAGAUUCUCGUCAUCCAACAGAAAUAGAAUUUUAAUCCGAAAUGUCUGCUGUUUCUCCUGUUUCUACUUUUGUAUGUGACUGUGAGAGUCGUCAGACCUCUGAUGGACUUCAAGUGCGCAUGUGUUGCUGUGGAUCCCAGGAUGAUCCCAGCCUCUCUAAAUGCUAAUGGUGUGUGUAGGUGAGUGAUAGAUUUUCCAGAGAGCCCUGCUUUAGACCAGCAGGGAAGCACAAGGAAUAUAAUCCACCUACAGCUACUGAGGCUUCCUCAUUUCACAGCAAAAUAAUCGCAAUGACCCAGCAAUACUUAGCUUCAGAUUUAGGAGCUGUAUUAUCAGGGGAGACCUGCGUGCCUUAUGUGUCAUAUUUUUGACUCAAGAUACAUUUUAUGGACACCAUCAGCUUGAUUUGAAGAUAGGAAAAGAUCAUUUUGGUUUGAUACACCUUUUGUAGUUUUCCACCAUUCCUAUCAAUAAUUAUUAUCAUCGAGUUAAUAUCUGAGAUCUAAGAAAACGGUGACAUCACUAAAAAUAAGCCGCACACAAGCAGUCAGACAAUCAGACAGGUUGGAAACAAACCUACAUGUUAGACAAACUUAUUUGAAGAGAACUACUGUAAACGCCCAUCAGUUUACAGACCUACUUCGUGCUUCAACUUUGACCUGCUGUACUUAAAGUAGUCCUGAACACAGUUUUCCUGUGCAAUGAGGGAUUAUUAGCGACAUUUAAAGUGUGCUCACUUUCAGUUUGUUCAAAUAAAAUUGGUUUGGAUAUAAACUGUUGGUUUGUUUACAACCUGUCUGAUCGUCUGACUGCUCGUGUUUGUUGACCCAUUGGACUUCAUUGUAGAGAUGUUACUGUGUUCCCAGCAAUUAACUUGGUACGUACAAUAUUACGGUAUCAUGGGGGGCACAUCUAGCAGGCAGCACUGGUGCCCCCAGGUAUGCGUGUUCUCCCCACUGCUCUUCUCUCUCUACACCAAUGACUGGACCUCAGGGGACCCGUCUGUUAAACUCCUGACACUGAGAUGAAUGAAUGCUUAUAGUUUCAGAGGUGAUUUAAUUGGUCGGUAGAACAGCUGGCCCCAGUCUGGACCAUGUGGUUUAGAUGGGCUUGAACCACCACUGGUAAUCAGCCUCAUCUGAGAUGCUGAUGAGUCUGCAACCAGGCGGGAGGUUGAACAGCUGGCUCUCUGGUGCAGUCACUACAAUCUGGGGUUGAACACACUCAAAACUGUAGAGAUACUCAACAGCACUGUGUUGGCCGAGGAAAUCUUCACAUUACACUUAAAAUUACAAAUUUCAGCCUCAUGGUGGCGCUAGAGAAAAAGUCAGGGAAUCACCAAAGUCUGCAGGAUUCAUCCUCUGGGGAUCAUGAAUGUUUGUACAAAAUUUCAUGACAAUGAAUUCAAUAGUUGAUGAGAUAUUUCAGUCUGGACCAAAGUGGUGGACCAACCAAUCGAAAGGCUGGUAUUGCCAUCCAUAGAGCCAGCAGUUAGUGAGUCUGCUCUCUGCACAUCUAUGAUGGUCUGGUUUGGAUCGGCCACCAAACAGGACAGAAACAGACUGCAAUGAACAGUUAAGUCUCCAGAAAAGAUGACUGGUGCCAACCUGCCCACUCUCCAGGAAUUGUACACCUCCCAAGUCAGGAAAUGGGCAGGGAUAAUCAUUGCAGACCCAUCACACCCUGGACAUAAACUGUUCCAACCUCUCCCCUCAUGUAGACUCAGAACACUGUAUGCCAAAACAAUCAGAGACAAGCAGUUUCUUUUCUCAGGCAUCACACUCACAAACAGUAGAGGUCUAAAACCAGUAACCCUGCAAUACUAAAUCAUAUUAUACAGAUAUUAUAGUUGUGGUAGAAAAUGACUGAAAUGUCUAUGUGAAAUUGCUGAAUCACUGUUAAAUCAUCUGUUGAAUAACUCAAAAGGGGUACAGGAGAAGGUACAGACUGUCCAGUCAUAAAGAUUAGAAGACCUUGGGGUGUCUCAAUUUCUUGAGAUAUGCUUGGAAACUGGUUAGGGGUUCAAGCCCCAAAGUGGACCAUCAUUGGAUGACGCUUAAUAAAAGUUGUAUAAAGCUUGUUGAUAUCUUAUUUGGUUUUCAAGAUAUUGACCAAUGAACUUCCAAAGGGGCGUGGCUCACCACAUAAAUAGACCAAAGUCAAUAAAGUUUGGGACAGUCAUCACAAAACUUCCAGGAUAUGUCCAUAGAAGUACCUGAAACAUACCCUGAAAGUUUCUUUCAAAUCAACCACUGGGGGGCGCUACAAAUGCAAAAAAAUGGGCGUGGCAUAACACAAAUCAGAAUACGAAUCAGACAUUGUUUGUUUUCUUCAUUCUAUUUGUGAAAAUGCAAAAAAGAGAGGAGAUUUCACUGCUUUUGUCACCUCUAGGCCACAUCUGACCAAGUCCAGAUCAAAAGCUUUAAACUUCUAACGGUCUGUGUUGGCCUGAACCCCGGAAUUGCCGCUUGCGGCUGUAUUUCUGACUGGAUUUUGGUGUUUAGAGAAGAAGUCAAGUCAAUUUUAUUUAUAUAGCCCAAUAUCACAAAUCACAAAUUUGCCUCAAGUGGCUUCACAA